rnacentral:rRNA from 1 species
UUUGGAUUUUCGGAUUCAGAGACCAAGCGAAAGUGAUAAGUUAGCCACCUGGGGAGAACGUCCGCAAGGAUGAAACUCAAAUGAAUUGACGGGGGCCCGCACAAGCGGUGGAGCAUGUGGUUUAAUUCGAUGCAACGCGAAGAACCUUACCUACCCUUGACAUCCUGCGAACCCGGAAGAGAUUCCGGGGUGCCUUCGGGAACGCAGAGACAGGUGCUGCAUGGCUGUCGUCAGCUCGUGUUGUGAAAUGUUGGGUUAAGUCCCGUAACGAGCGCAACCCUUGUCCUUAUUUGCCAGCGCGUAAUGGCGGGAACUCUAAGGAGACUGCCGGUGACAAACCGGAGGAAGGUGGGGACGACGUCAAGUCAUCAUGGCCCUUACGGGUAGGGCUACACACGUGCUACAAUGGCCGGUACAAAGGGCGGCGAGCUCGCGAGAGUCAGCGAAUCCCUUAAAGCCGGUCUCAGUCCGGAUCGGAGUCUGCAACUCGACUCCGUGAAGUCGGAAUCGCUAGUAAUCGUGAAUCAGAAUGUCACGGUGAAUACGUUCCCGGGCCUUGUACACUCCGCCC